rnacentral:lncRNA from 1 species
CCUGAUGACCUUGGGCUUGCAUGAGAACAUGCAUCGCUAUAUUCUGAGAUGCGAUGUCUCUCAUGCCCGCCGCUAUUUGAGCCAUCCCUUUAGUGAGCAUGACUGUUCUUGUACCUCGGUGAUAUCGGUGAAUGGGUCUCUGGUGAGUGACAUUGUUAUGGAGCACCUCUUCUUCAGAAGCCUCUCUCAUGGGAUUGUCAUCUUCAUGGCUGGAACUCA